UUUUUCUUCAAUAGGUGUAAGAAAUUUAAGUUUCUACAUCAUGAGUUCAGUAUUCUAGGCGGCAAAUCGACAUGUCUCUAUAAAUAUUGAGGUGCUGAUGUAUUUUGAGAUGGAGGCAAUCAGAGAACUUGAGAGGGUUGUGGACAGUGCUUAGCACACAGGUGUCGCACACCACACUACCCAGGGCCUGCCUUGGCUGGUGGCUCUUCUGGACAGCAGGGAACUUUGAGACCACUCCCCGAGGACCCAGGGCGCCCCAAGAGACAGCGGGUUGGAAGCGGGUAGAGUGGACAGAAGUAGAGACGGCGGGAGCUGCGGGUGGCGGCAGCAGCGCCCAGGGUCCGAGGCCCUCGGGUCCUCUGGGCUGCGGGACGCAGAGACUUUGAGGAGGAGCGCGAGCGUCCCCCCGCCCCUCCUGCCUCCACGCGGGGCGCGCCGGGAUCGGGGGCGGGGGGGGGGGUGGUGGUCCGAGAGCGCCCCCCUCUCCCACGCGGGCCUCGCGGGGCGGUGAGUCAAGGCCGGGAGCCGAGCCGCUCUCCCCGGCAGACCCGACCGAGGCGCGGGCGGCGGCGCGCAGGACGGGGAUCCGAGACGCGCUCCCGCCGCCCCAGCUGCGCCGCGCUCCCGGCCACAAGUUUGCCCCGCGUUGGCCAAGUUGCGAGUGGGGAGCCUCUCCGGGCUCCGGGGUGAGCGUCCGUCUUCUCGCUCGGGCUGGUCCGGGCAUGGCCGGGCCGGGAGCCUCGCCCCACGUCUGGGGGUGGCUGCUGCUCGGAGGUUGCCUUCUCGUCGGAGCCCAGGUCAUUUUAUUUUCAAAACAACACAUUGACUGAGAUGCUGAGCACAAUAUUUAUUGUGAAUGUCCGCAAGUACUCACCAUCCCUGAGCCUCUUUCCUCAUGUGCAAUGGAAACCUUGAAAGAAUGGUGUCUGGAAGAAAUGAGACAACAGGUGCAAAAGCCAGAGCACGUCCAGUAUCUGUGCUCAAUGGGCAGCUGCUUCAUUUAGAGAGAGAGCCUUUCUCGUUAUACAUACUCAUCUAGGUACUUAAAAAGAAAAAGUGAAAGAUGAAUAAGACAUGUCCCCAGCUUUGGAAGAACCCACAAUCUAGCAGAUGGGACAGAAAACCAAUCAGAGCAUUAGAGUAAAGCAGAUAAGUGCCAGGAGGGGGUGUAUAUACAAAGUGCUGUGGGGAUGUGGGAGAGAAGAUUGCUUUAGCUUCAGGCAAAGUCAAAGAGGUUUUAAAGGAAUGAUGUUUCACAAAUCAAUCAAUGUGAUACAUCACAUUAAUAAAAGAAAAGAUAAGAACCAUAUGAUCCUGUCAAUCGAUGCAGAAAAAGCAUU